rnacentral:pre_miRNA from 1 species
CAUUUUUUUAUAUCAAACGUUUGACCGUCCGUCUUAUUUAAAAAAUUUUAUGAUUAGUUAUUUUUUUUGUUGUUGUUAUUAGAUUAUAAAACAUGAAUAAUACUUUAUGUGUGACUAUUCUUUUUUGAAAAAAUAUAAUUUUUUAAAUAAGACAUAUGGUUAAAAGUUAAAUACGGAAUCUCACAACUGCACUUAUA